ensembl:lncRNA
UAACACCGGUGUUGCACACCAACACCGGUAACACCGGUAAACCAACACCGGUAACACCGGUAAUACCGUAUACCGCGGCAACCCUACUUGUAACCAAAAGGUUGCUAAUUCGAUCCCCAGCUCCUCCUAGCUGAGUGUCGAUGUGUCCCUGAGCAAGACACUUAACCCUAACUGCUCCUGACGAGCUGGCUAUCGCCUUGCACGGUUGACUCUGCCGUCGGUGUGUCAAUGUGUGUAUUAACCGAUGUAAGUUGCUUUGGAGAAAAGCGUCUGCUAAAUUCCCUAAUUGUAAUUGGUGAGGUAAAUACGAUCCCUAAAAACUGACAAAAAGGGUUCAAACAGAAUGGGGUAUUCUAUGGGAAACCCCGUUGUUUUUGUGUGGUUUGAUCCAUAUGUGGUGUGUUCUCGGUCCUGUGAAUGUGAACGUAGCGAUGAUGGACCGGUCCGUCCUUCGGCCUCUGUGUCAAACUGUGCUAUUUUACGAUGAUGAAAUGUGUUUGUAUUGCCCAUCACUGUACGGACCCCCCCCCCCCACCAACGAGCCAUAUGUGUCGUGGAGACCUCAGCUGAAGGUCAUGUGUAAGCGUAGUCCGUCUGCCCGUCUGCCGCUGUGCGUCCUCGUGAAGCUGCCUCUUGGGGGGCUUGGUGCUGUGUGUAUCUCUACUUUGGAUCUGCUUCAUGGCGGGUCUGCUACUCUUUGUUGUUCUCAGCUGCUGUAGUCUAGGUCUGAUCAUCAGAUCCGAGCCGCUCAAGUCUGAGCCACCUCAGGUCUGAAGCCCCUCAGCUCUGAAGCCCCUCAGUUCUAAGGCUCCUCAAAUCUGAGUCCCCUCAACUGCAGAUGUUUUUCUACUCUCCUUUCUAUGGACGCCUGAUACGUGAGACGUAAAGUGUCCUUUCUAUGACUGUUAAUUGAGACUCCCUCCUGGCCAUUUGAAACUAUAAUCCAUGCUGACGCUGUUCAGCGUGCUCACGUGCGUGGCACGUGAAGGACAUUGUUUGAAUCUUGAAAACGCAAACGUACACCUUUAAAACCCUCUGAUACAAAGAAGUUUGAGUUCAAAUUUGUCAACCAAUAAUCAGGGCCUGUGGACUAAAGAUGUUGAGCUUUUCAAAAGGAUGAAGAACCUUAUGGCUCCGCCAUCCGACAGCAUGAACCACAACGACCGACUGAAAGGUUUGAGUAACAGGGAAGUUGGAAACGCCCUGAUGUCCGUGUCAUUAAAGAGACCCAUGCCACAUGAAGGAGAGGUGUAUGGUUAUACACCAAGUCAAAUAUGUUAUGGAUACCAUGUGUUCAAUGUAUGUAAUGUACCUGUUGUGCAACAUAUAUAUGACAUGCAUGUCUUAUGUUGUAUGAUGUAGAGCGGGAGACUCUUGUUUCACCGUCCCGCCAAGUAUUCGUUAUGUUUGUUUCUCUCAAAUGUGAUCACAAGCACACUCUACACACGUGUAAAGUCCUUUUUUACCAAACACACACACUUACACACAGUUUGGAAACACACCAUGACCAAAGCAUGUUUAAUGCCUUUUUUCAGAAUGACAAUCAAUACAUCCCAUAAUAAACUGUACACCAUGCUGUGUCUCUGCCGUGCGCGUCUGUGGUCCUCAGGCAGUGAUUGGUUGAACUUAUCGUCGUGUUACAAAAAUAUUCAAACGGCUCUAUGUGAAGGAGUCGGAUCCCUUCGUCUCACCGUACUGCAGGAGAAGUUCAUCUCAAAG